UUCCUACGGGGGGCAGCAGUGAGGAAUAUUGGUCAAUGGCCGAGAGGCUGAACCAGCCAAGUCGCGUGAGGGAAGACGGCCCUACGGGUUGUAAACCUCUUUUGUCGGGGAGCAAUGAGAGUCACGUGUGACUCAUUGAGAGUACCCGAAGAAAAAGCAUCGGCUAACUCCGUGCCAGCAGCCGCGGUAAUACGGAGGAUGCGAGCGUUAUCCGGAUUUAUUGGGUUUAAAGGGUGCGCAGGCGGAGGUGCAAGUCAGCGGUCAAAUUGCGGGGCUCAACCCCGGCCGGCCGUUGAAACUGGUUU
rnacentral:rRNA from 1 species